ACUCAAAUGAAUUGACGGGGACUUGCACAAGCAGUGGAUUAUGCGGUUUAAUUCGAUGGUAAACGAAGAACCUUACCAAGGUUAGAAAUCCCGACGACGAAUAGUAGAAACAUUAUUCUUUCGCAAGAACGUCGGGACAGGUGAUGCAUGGCCGUCGUCAGUUCGUGGUUUGAAUUGUUCCCUUAAGUGGGGUAACGAACGCAACCCUCGUUGCCAGUUACAAGUGUCUGGCGAGACUGCCCCGGUUUGUGCGCACGAUAUAUAUCGCGCUUACAAACCGGGGAGGAAGGCGAGGAUGACGCCAGGUCAGCAUGUCCCUCUGAUACCUUGGGCUACACGCAUAAUACAAUCGCACAUACAACGGGUCGCGACGGGGUAACCCUGAGCUAAUCCUAAGAAAGUGUGCGCCAGUUCGGAUUGGGGGCUGCAACUCGACCCCAUGAAGCCGGAAUUGCUAGUAAUCGCGGGUCAGCUAUACCGCGGUGAAUACGUUCUCAAGUCUUGUACACACCGCCCGU
rnacentral:rRNA from 1 species